rnacentral:rRNA from 1 species
GUGGAAAGUUUUUUCGGCUGGGGAUGGGCCCGCGGCCUAUCAGCUUGUUGGUGGGGUGAUGGCCUACCAAGGCGGCGACGGGUAGCCGGCCUGAGAGGGCGACCGGCCACACUGGGACUGAGACACGGCCCAGACUCCUACGGGAGGCAGCAGUGGGGAAUAUUGCGCAAUGGGCGGAAGCCUGACGCAGCGACGCCGCGUGGGGGAUGACGGCCUUCGGGUUGUAAACCUCUUUCGACCGGGACGAAGAGUGAUUGACGGUACCGGUAGAAGAAGCACCGGCCAACUACGUGCCAGCAGCCGCGGUAAUACGUAGGGUGCGAGCGUUGUCCGGAAUUAUUGGGCGUAAAGAGCUCGUAGGCGGUGUGUCGCGUCGAUCGUGAAAACUUUCAGCUUAACUGGGAGCUUGCGGUCGAUACGGGCAUCACUGGAGUUCGGCAGGGGAGACUGGAAUUCAAGGUGUAGCGGUGAAAUGCGCAGAUAUCUUGAGGAACACCGGUGGCGAAGGCGGGUCUCUGGGCCGAUACUGACGCUGAGGAGCGAAAGCGUGGGGAGCGAACAGGAUUAGAUACCCUGGUAGUCCACGCCGUAAACGGUGGGCGCUAGGUGUGGGGGCCAUUCCACGGUCUCUGUGCCGCA